AGCAGCCGCGGUAAUUCCAGCUCCAAUAGCGUAUAUUAAAGUUGCUGCAGUUAAAAAGCUCGUAGUUGAAUUUCGGGACUAAUAUGUCGGUCGUGCCUCGGUACGUACUGGUAUUUUUGGUUUCUCCCUUCUGACGAACCUUGAUGUCAUUAAUUUGGUGUCUUGGGAAAUCAGGACUGUUACUUUGAAAAAAUUAGAGUGUUUAAAGCAGGCUCACGCUUGAAUACAUUAGCAUGGAAUAAUGAAAUAGGACGUUUGAUUCUAUUUUGUUGGUUUCUAGGAUUGACGUAAUGAUUAAUAGGGAUAGUUGGGGGCAUUAGUAUUCAAUUGUCAGAGGUGAAAUUCUUGGAUUUAUUGAAGACUAACUACUGCGAAAGCAUUUGCCAAGGACGUUUUCAUUAAUCAAGAACGAAAGUUAGGGGAUCGAAGACGAUCAGAUACCGUCGUAGUCUUAACCAUAAACUAUGCCGACUAGGGAUCGGAUGAUGUAAUUUUUAAUGACUCAUUCGGCGCCUUACGG
rnacentral:rRNA from 1 species